rnacentral:tRNA from 1 species
UUUUUGGUGGUCUAGUGGCUAAGACUCUGCAGUCCCAAUGUGAGGGGCCCAGGUUCGAUCCCUGGUCAGGGAA